GCUCCGGUGGCCUAAAGGUUAGAGCAUCUGCCUUGGAUGGAGGAGGUUGUGGGUUCAAACCCCAGCUGAGUCA